GUGCUUGCUUCAGCAGCAUAUAUACUAAAAUGGAACAAUACAGAGAAGAUUAACAUGAUCUCUACAAGAGGGAUGACACAAUGCUAUGAAACCAGAAAUCAACUACA
ensembl:snRNA U6 U6 spliceosomal RNA